GUAACCUGUUGAGUAUCCGUUUGUUAUUAAAUAUGGGCCUCGUGCUCAUCCUGGCAACAGGAACGACCAUAAAGAAGCCGUCGAGAGAUAUCGGAAGAGUUUUCUUUUCUGUUUUAUAGCCGUACUACCAUGGAAGUCUUUCGCAGAGAGAUAUGGUAGAUGGGCUAGAAGAGCAUGACAUAUACUGUUGUGUCGAUAUUUUCUCCUCGGACCUUGAAAAUUUAUGGUGGGGACACGCAAACUUCUCAACAGGCCGUACCAAUAUCCGCAGCUGGUCUCCAAGGUGAAGAGUCUCUAGUCGAUAGAAUAAUGUAGGUAAGGGAAGUCGGCAAAUUAGAUCCGUAACUUCGGGAUAAGGAUUGGCUCUGAAGAUUGAGAUAGUCGGGCUUGAUUGGGAAACAAUAACAUGGUUUAUGUGCUCGUUCUGGGUAAAUAGAGUUUCUAGCAUUUAUGUUAGUUACUUGUUCCCCGGAUAGUUUAGUUACGUAGCCAAUUGUGGAACUUUCUUGCUAAAAUUUUUAAGAAUACUAUUUGGGUUAAACCAAUUAGUUCUUAUCAAUUAUAACGAUUAUCAAUUAACAAUCAAUUCAGAACUGGCACGGACUUGGGGAAUCCGACUGUCUAAUUAAAACAAAGCAUUGUGAUGGCCCUAGCGGGUGUUGACACAAUGUGAUUUCUGCCCAGUGCUCUGAAUGUCAAAGUGAAGAAAUUCAAGUAAGCGCGGGUCAACGGCGGGAGUAACUAUGACUCUCUAAGGUAGCCAAAUGCCUCGUCAUCUAAUUAGUGACGCGCAUGAAUGGAUUAACGAGAUUCCUACUGUCCCUAUCUACUAUCUAGCGAAACCACAGCCAAGGGAACGGGCUUGGAAUAAUUAGCGGGGAAAGAAGACCCUUUUGAGCUUGACUCUAAUCUGGCAGUGUAAGGAGACAUAAGAGGUGUAGAAUAAGUGGGAGAUAUUAGACCUCGGUUUGGUAUCGUCAAUGAAAUACCACUACUCUUAUUGUUUCCUUACUUACUUGAUUAAAUGGAACGUGUAUCAUUUCCUAGCCAUUAUACGGAUAUAUUUAUUAUAUCUUAUGGUAUUGGGUUUUGAUGCAAGCUUCUUGAUCAAAGUAUCACGAGUUUGUUAUAUAAUCGCAAACAAAUUCUUUAAUAAAACGAUGCAUUUAUGUAUUUUUGAUUUGAAAAUUUGGUAUAACUCCAAUUACUCAGGUAUGAUCCAAUUCAAGGACAUUGCCAGGUAGGGAGUUUGACUGGGGCGGUACAUCUCUCAAAUAAUAACGGAGGUGUCCCAAGGCCAGCUCAGUGCGGACAGAAACCACACAUAGAGCAAAAGGGCAAAUGCUGACUUGAUCUCGGUGUUCAGUACACACAGGGACAGCAAAAGCUCGGCCUAUCGAUCCUUUUGGUUUAAAGAGUUUUUAACAAGAGGUGUCAGAAAAGUUACCAUAGGGAUAACUGGCUUGUGGCGGCCAAGCGUUCAUAGCGACGUCGCUUUUGAUC
rnacentral:ncRNA from 1 species